AUGUCUGCUGCGUCGGGCUAUGUUGUUGUCCCUCGCUGUCCGGUGAUCUUCGAUGGUACUAACUACACCGAGUUCGCUGGCUUCAUGCGCAUUCACAUGCGUGGCAUCCGUCUCUGGGGCGUUCUUUCUGGCGAGGUCUGCUGUCCGCCCCGUCCGGUUCCUCCGGUGGCCCCUACUCCGCCGACUCCCCUGGUUCUUCCUCCGGAUGCUAAUCAGGCCGCCAAGGAUGCGGCUAAGAUUGCUUAUGAGGCUGCUGAUCGUGCCUAUGAUGAGAGGGCUUUGGCUUAUGAGGAGGCUCUUCAGACGUAUCAUGGUGCUUUGUCUGUUUACACCCAGUGGCUUGAUGAUGAUGCUCGUGCUGCAGCUGUUCUCACUGCUAGUGUUCUGCCUCAGUUUGCUUCUGAGUUUCUGGGUCUUCCUACUGUCUUCCAGAUGUGGACCUGUCUUCGUCAGCGCUAUGAAGUUCUGCCAUCUGGCGCCAGCUUGAUUCUCUCCGCAGUGCUGGUUGUCGUACUUGCCCUUGCUGCCAGGCUGUCCAGGCCGAUUUGGAGUUUCAUCGUGUCUACGAGUUCCUGUCUCGGCUCCGUAAGGAGUUUGAGCCCCGGCGUGCUCAGUUGCUUGCUCGUGGCCGUAUUUCUCUCAUGGAGGCGCUUUCAGAGAUUCGUGCUGAGGAGACUCGCCUACGUGGUGCUGGUUUGCUGGAGGCUCCCUCUGUGCUCGCUACUCGGGUUUCUUCCACUCCACCUGCUGCACCGCCCCAUUCUCGCUCGAGUGCUCCGCCGCUCUUGCCCACUCCUUCUGGAGGCUCAGGUCGCCCCCGUUCACAUUGUGACUACUGCAACAAUGAUGGUCAUAUUGAGUCCCAGUGCUACACCAAGCGGAAACACCUGCGCAAGGCGCGAUCAUCAGGGACUGCGUCAUCUCCCUCGCCAGCUUCAGCCAUUGCUUUGA
rnacentral:rRNA from 1 species